rnacentral:rRNA from 1 species
UGCAAGUCGUGCGAGAAAGUCACCUUCGGGUGGUGAGUAAAGCGGCGAACGGGUGAGUAACACGUAAGAAACCUGCCCCUAAAUCCGGAAUAACAUUGCUAACGCGGUGCUAAUACCGGAUGUGGUCUCCAGUUUGCAUGAACAGGAGAUUAAAGGUGACCUCUACUUGUAAGUUAUCGUUUAGGGAUGGUCUUGCGGACCAUUAGCUUGUUGGCGGGGUAACGGCCCACCAAGGCUGCGAUGGUUAGCCGGCUUAAGAGGGUGAUCGGCCACAUUGGGACUGAGAUACGGCCCAGACUCCUACGGGAGGCAGCAGUAGGGAAUUUUGCGCAAUGGACGAAAGUCUGACGCAGCAACGCCGCGUGAGCGAUGAAGGUUUUCGGAUUGUAAAGCUCUGUUGAGUGGGAAGAAAACUCUCCGGGAUAAUACCCCGGAGACUUGACGGUACCACUCGAGGAAGCCCCGGCUAAAUACGUGCCAGCAGCCGCGGUAAUACGUAUGGGGCAAGCGUUGUUCGGAAUCACUGGGCGUAAAGGGAGUGUAGGCGGAAAGGUAAGUUAGAAGUGUAAUCCACGGGCUUAACCCGUGACUCGCUUUUAAUACUGCUUUUCUUGAGUAUGGGAGAGGGAGAUGGAAUUCCAGGUGUAAGCGGUGGAAUGCGUAGAUAUCUGGAAGAACACCCAGUAGCGAAGGCGGUCUCCUGGCCCAAUACUGACGCUGAGGCUCGAAAGCGUGGGGAGCGGAACAGGAUUAGAUACCCUGGUAGUCCACGCCGUAAACGAUGGACACU